AUGAACGCUGGCGGCGUGCCUAAUACAUGCAAGUCGAGCGCACAGACGAGGAGCUUGCUCCUCUGACGUUAGCGGCGGACGGGUGAGUAACACGUGGAUAACCUACCUAUAAGACUGGGAUAACUUCGGGAAACCGGAGCUAAUACCGGAUAAUAUAUUGAACCGCAUGGUUCAAUAGUGAAAGACGGUUUUGCUGUCACUUAUAGAUGGAUCCGCGCCGCAUUAGCUAGUUGGUAAGGUAACGGCUUACCAAGGCGACGAUGCGUAGCCGACCUGAGAGGAUGAUCGGCCACACUGGAACUGAGACACGGUCCAGACUCCUACGGGAGGCAGCAGUAGGGAAUCUUCCGCAAUGGGCGAAAGCCUGACGGAGCAACGCCGCGUGAGUGAUGAAGGUCUUCGGAUCGUAAAACUCUGUUAUUAGGGAAGAACAAAUGUGUAAGUAACUAUGCACGUCUUGACGGUACCUAAUCAGAAAGCCACGGCUAACUACGUG
rnacentral:rRNA from 1 species